GAUGAACGCUGGCGGCGUGCUUAACAUAUGCAAGUCGAACGAUGAAGCCCAGCUUGCUGGGUGGAUUAGUGGCGAACGGGUGAGUAACACGUGAGUAACCUGCCCUUAACUCUGGGAUAAGCCUGGGAAACUGGGUCUAAUACCGGAUAGGAGCGUCCACCGCAUGGUGGGUGUUGGAAAGAUUUAUCGGUUUUGGAUGGACUCGCGGCCUAUCAGCUUGUUGGUGAGGUAAUGGCUCACCAAGGCGACGACGGGUAGCCGGCCUGAGAGGGUGACCGGCCACACUGGGACUGAGACACGGCCCAGACUCCUACGGGAGGCAGCAGUGGGGAAUAUUGCACAAUGGGCGCAAGCCUGAUGCAGCGACGCCGCGUGAGGGAUGACGGCCUUCGGGUUGUAAACCUCUUUCAGUAGGGAAGAAGCGAAAGUGACGGUACCUGCAGAAGAAGCACCGGCUAACUACGUG
rnacentral:rRNA from 1 species